GUGCUUGCUAUGGCAACACAUAUACUAAAAUUGGAACGAUACAGAGAAGAUUAGCAUGGCCCCUGCGCAAAGGGGCCAUGCUAAUCUUCUCUGUAUCGUUCCAAUUUU